GCCGGGGCCGGCGGGAGAGGCACCGUCUCUGGGCAGAGAAGUGCCAGGAGGGGCCAUGGGGCCGGCAGCCGCAGCAGCCGCUUUCCCUUCCCCGGCGAGCAGAUGGCCUGAAUAAAAACAUAGAAUGUGGUCCAGAAGGGUCGGGAGAGGACAAAAAUGCUGAGUUGUGAGAGCUGAAAGAAUUAGCAGUAAAUUUACUCAUGGGAAAAAGCACAUUAUGACAAUGAAGCAAAGGUCUCUAGUGUCUGCAGUCCCACAGGUUCAGAAUUCCAGCCUUUUUACCACAACCCACAAAGUCAGAGAAUUACAUGAGAAAAGUGGUGGUUUUCAUGGAACUGUGUGACUGCUGGA